rnacentral:lncRNA from 1 species
AAAGAUCGAUUUAAAAAGAGUUAUGCAUAAAUAAAUUUCAAGAAAAAUAGAGUUGUAUAAUGUAAGAGAUAAGAAAUGAGAGAACACUAAAGAGAAGAAGAAGAAGAAACAACUCUGAAAAUGUAUUAUUGAUAUUCUGAUUUACAAGGAGGAUCAAAGUCCUUUAUAUAGAGAGGGAAAGAGAGGAUUCCAGAACUAAUAAACUUUCUAACAAACUCUAACUAAGAGUAACUAACAAACUGCACUCGUGAUCAGUGAAUAACUAGAUCACUUCUAAUAUACGCCCCUGAAUCCAAGACUCCUCAGGUGAUUCAGAACUUGAUUAAUUUGCUGAGUUGUAGUCUUGAAUUCUUAACUGAUUCCUGAGAGUGAUGAAUUGAGUGUUAGGUAGAGGCUUUUUGAAGAUGUCAGCAGUUUGAAAUUCUGAGGGAAUGUGUCUGACAAUAAGUGUCUUGCUUUGUAUUUUGUCUCUGACAAAGUACAAAUCUAGUUCAAUAUGCUUGGUACGGUUGUGUAAUACAGGAUUGUGAGACAUAACUACUGUGCUUGAGUUGUCAUAGAAAAAAACAGGAGUGUGAUAGGUGAUUUGCAUUUCUUUGAGCAGAGACUCAAACCACAUAAUCUCUUGAGAAGUCAAGGCUAAGCUUCUAUACUCUGCCUCUAUGCUGGAUCUAGAUAUAGUACGUUGUUUCUUUGACCACCAGGUGACAACAUUAGGACCCAAGUAGAGACAAGCUCCCGACGUAGACUUUCUAUCAUCAAUGUUUGAGGCCCAAUCAACAUCACAGAAAGCUGUGAUGGAUAGAUUGGAUGAAUGUCCAGCAGGUUUUAUUGUUAAUCCCAUAUUCCGAGUUCCUUGGAGAUAUCUAAGGAUCCUUUUUACUGCUGUCCAGUGAGAAUUGCAAGGUUUGUCAAGAAAUUGACACACCUUGUUCACACAGUAGGUGAUGUCUGGUCUGGUGACAAUGGCAUAUUGUAGGGCACCAACAAUGGAUCUGUAGAAAGUAGGAUCUUCAGAGAAGUCAGUACCAUGCUUAGUUAGUUUACAAUUGUUAGCUAUAGGUGUAGGAAGAGACUUAGAGGUAGAGAGAUUAGCCCUUUCAAGAAGAUCAUUGAUGUAUUUAGCUUGAGAGAGAAAUCGCGACCCAUUCUUUUGGUGUUUAACUUGAAUACCAAGAAAGUAGUCCAGAGGCCCUAGUUGUUUGAGAGAAAAAGUUGAACUCAAUUCCUUGAUGAGAUUUUGAACAUGGAAGGAUGAUGAUCCAAUAACAAUUAUGUCAUCAACAUAUACCAAAACAUACAGUUUGUAGGUUUUAGAGGUAUGAAUGAAAAGAGAAUUAUCACAUUUGCUAAUUUGAAAAUCAAGCUUGACCAAGGAACCUUUUAACCUUUCAAACCAUUGCCUUGGAGCCUGUUUUAGACCAUAGAUGGCUCUGUGUAGUUUGCACACAAGAGAUUUGUUCUUGUUUUGAAAUCCUGAUGGCAGAUUCAUGUAGACUUCUUCAUCAAGAAUGCCAUUUAAAAAGGCAUUAUUAAUGUCAAGUUGUUCAAUCAUCCAUUGAUGAGUGAUAGAAAGUGUAAGAAGUACCCUGAUUGUGAUUGGCUUGACAACUAGAGAGAAUGUUUCAUUGUAAUCUACCCCUUGCUUUUGAUGAAAACCCUUUGCAACCAACCUAGCUUUGUACUUAUUGAUUGUUCCAUCUGGAUUUUCUUUGACUUUAAAAACCUAUUUGCACCCAAUUGCUCUCUUGUGAGGUGGUAGAGGCAUUAGAGACCAUGUUCCCAAUUUAAUGAGGGCAUCAUAUUCUGAUUGCAUUGCUUGCUGCCAUUGAGGAAUAACUAAGGCAGCUUUGACACUGACUGGUUCAGAGUGAACCAUACGAACUCUUGGAUAUAGAGUUCUGAAUAUCCCUGAUUUUGAUCUUGUUUGCAUGGGAUGAGAGGAUAGAGGAGGAGAAGCAAUUGUUAAGGGUGAGUGGUUUGCAGAGGAGGAAGUAGAGUCAUCUGGGUCUAGUGUGUGAUUGGUGGUUAGUGAGGGAGUUUGAGAAUUAGGGGAUGAGAGGAGAAUAGGCGAAUUCUGUAAAGGUGAAGAACCAGAAUUAUGUGUGUACUCAGAAGUUGCUCUGGAGAGAAUGUCAGCGUCAUGAAAAUUGAAUAUGGGAGAAAAAUGACAUCCAUUAAGGAAUGAAGAUGAAUGCUUAUCACCACUGUUGGACUGAUUCUUACCUUUGACAGCAAAGGGAAAAAUAUUCUCAUUAAAAGUAACAUCUUUUGAAAUGUAGAUCUUUCCAUCAUGUGACAUGCACUUGUAGCCUUUGUGACUAGAGGAGUAGCCAAGGAAGGUGCAUUCUGAACUUCUGGGUUGAAGUUUAUGUUUAGUAUAGGGCCUGAGAAGAGGAAAGUAGGCACAACCAAAAACCUUGAAUAGCGUGUAAUCUGGUGGAUGACUGAAAAGUAGUUCAUGAGGGGAUUUGUUGUUGAGAGAAAUUGAUGGUAGUCUAUUAAUGAGGAAAACAAUUGUUGUAAAGGCAUGAUCCCAAAGAUUCGAGGGAAGAUGAGCAUGAGCAAGUAGAGUUAUUCCAGUUUUCACAACAUGCCUAUGUUUUCUUUCAACAGUUCCUUGUUGGUGAUGAGUGUGAGGACAAGAAAUUCUAUGAACAAUCCCAUGACUUUGGAGAAAUUUGGUAAAUGGACGAAAUUCACCCCCAUAGUCACUCUGGAUAGCUUUAAUAGUGACUUGAAAUUGAGUUUGAACAUAGGUUAAGAAGUACUGAAACAGUGAGAGUGUUUCAGAUUUCUGUUUGAGUAAGAAAAUCCAUGUAUGUCGAGUGUGGGCAUCCACAAUGGAGAAGUAAUACCUGAAUCCUGUUUGAGAAUGAACAGGUGCAGGUCCCCAUAGAUCAACAUAGACUAAGUCAAAAGGAGAUUUGUAAACAGUAGAAGAAUUUGCAGAGUGAAUUCUAUGUGAUUUACCAAUGCAACAAGAUGAACAGAAAUCAAACACAGUUUUAUUAUUGUGUAAGAUUUUACAAUUCUUCAAAAUCUCAUCUCUCUCCACAUCCUUAAUCACCAAAAUCUUAGCCUUAGCAAGAUAAUGCAAAGAUAAAUCAGUAACAGCAUCCCUCAAAAUACUCUUUUGAAUCAGAAGCACAUUACAACCAGUUCCCUUAAUCUUCUUAAUCAUACCAAGGAUAUAACUUCUCUCUUCCUUCAAAAUCCUAUCCAUCUGAGAAUAAUCAGACACUACAAUACUCUGUUCGAUAUCAGUUUUUGGCGGCGAAAUCUGAAACUGAAUCACACCAAUUUUAGCAUUUUCCAUUCUGGUAGGUCCACCAGCAGCAUGACUUACCUUCUUAUCAAAGCACAAACCCUUCACUAGCUCCGUAUCAUCGACUGUGCCGCCGAGCUUCUUCACGAUCCUAAUAUCACGAAGAUCAACCUGCUCGGGUUUCUCCGGGUCCACGACAAAAGUGACAGCGUCGACGGCAAGGGGAGCAAGUAAUGUGGAGUAUUGACUAACGACCUUACUGUUAAGUGAAGUGCUUGCGGAUUUCACGAGCGAUUCGCGGUCGGAGAGUUCAACGGGUACUGCCAUAGCGGCGAGAAUAUCGGUGGCUUUGACAGCGGCUUUGUGGAGGGCAUCAGAGACGACGGUAGGGUGGAUGCCGCGGGUGAGGAGGACGCGGCAGCUGUCAAGCAAAGCGCCAGCAAUCACAACAACCGUGGUGGUUCCAUCUCCGGCAGCGGCGUCUUGCGAUUUCGAAAGAUCAACGAGCAUCUUCGCGGCGGGUUGGAGGAGUUGCAUGUUGUUGAGAAUGGUGGCGCCGUCGUUUGUGAUGAUAACGUCACCGGAGGAUGUGGAGAUCAUCUUGUCCAUACCCUUGGGGCCGAGGCUGGUGCGAACGGCGUCGGCGACGGAUUUCGCGGCGGCGAUGUUAACAUGACGGAUGUCCUCCUUGCGCUUGUUGUCGACGUAGGAUUCAGUCUUGGAAGAUCGGGGUUGAGGAACUGCGAUUGCCGCCAUUUAUGAAGAGAUCGUAGAAUUCGAAAUUUGAAACCCUAACUUUCUUUUAGAGAGAGAGAGUGUGGUGUUGAAGUGUUCUUAUUAGUGCUUUUAGAAACUCAAGUAUGUUGAGAAAACACUACACAAUGUUCCAACUUCCAAGGGGUUGUUGCUACUUCUUGCUGGAUUUGGGCCCAUAUAUAUUUGGGCCAAUGCUCAUCAUUUAGUUUCUUUUAUUGGAGAUACUUCUAUGGAACAAGUUAUUUUAAUUUUCGACUAAGUUUUUAAAAUCUUAUAAAUACUUAAAGAUAAAAUACGAACAAGGUAUUGGUCUCGCAGUGUAAGACUCCGCUACAUCUUCAGGGUGAUCAAUAAAUCAAAGUUUCAAUUCUUGUAAAUGACACUUAUUGAAAUGGACAAUCAUACAUCUUGAAAAAGAUUAAUUUUCUAUCAUACCAACGCCUUAUUAGUAAUAAAUAACUCCACAAUAUUUAUAACAACCUUUUUUUCACUUUUAGAAAAUCAAGUAGGCAGAAGUGAAGGUUCUGAAUAUUUAAGGAUGUUGGUGAUCUAAUGAAGGUGUAUAAGUCCCACUACAUUGAUUCAACUACCUACAAUUGUAUGCCUUCAUCUAUUGUAUAAGAGUUCAUUUUGUUUGAAGUAAAGUUAAGGCAGAGGAUACUCAUGUCACUAAAUAGAUUGAAUGUUCAUUAUAUGUUAAUAAUCAAUUGUGAGAAUGUAUAACGUCAAAAAAUAUAUUUCGACAAACAAGAUGAAGUACAUAAUAAAAAGUAAAAUUCAAAAAUUAUAAAAAAAAUGUACAAACUAAAAGUAGUAUUAUAUACGCUGGUGUGUUGACAGACAUUGCUAUAUUUAUCAGCUUUGUAAUGUGUAGUCUAGAUACUAUAAAUGUCAAAUAUAGUAAAUUAUGUUAGAUAUUGUAAUUUACAGUUAAAUAUAUUCAAUUUGGGUAAUUACUUGAUCUUAUUUUUUUAAAAUGAACAUUCUAUUUUAAAUUUGCAGUUGACUAUAAAGGCAUUUAAUUAUAUACAUACAUUUAUAUUCCAUCAAAAUUAUAAAGACACUUUUAAUUUAUUAAUUAGUGGAGUUACACUUUACUGCAUUUAAAAAAUAAUGAAGAUAAUAGUUUUCAACAUAAGAGAAUAAAUUAAUUGAUAAACUAUAUUGCAUUGGUUUGUAACUGCCUAAAUUGGUAUUUGAACAUUAGGUAUAUGAUUAAUUUAGUAAUAAGGACAAAAUAAGAAUAUAAAAGUUAUAUUAGUUCAAUUACCUAAAUAUUUUUUAGGCAUAUUUUAUCUUUAUACAGAAGUAUGGAUAUAUAUAUAUAUAUAUAUAUAUAUAUGUAUAAAUAGAACAAUUAAUGACCAAAAAAUAUAUUUUUUACACCCUCUAUUUCUAUUUAAUGUUGUUUAAAUCUCUUAUUAGUCACUAACAAAUUCUGUACUGAUAUCUACAACCAUAUCAUUCUCUUUAGGAAGUUAUUGGUCAUACAAAUGAGUUUGAAUGAGUUUUGAUAGUGCAUUACUCGAACUCGUUUCGUUAUUUCAUUUUUGGAUUUAAACCCACUUCAUAUCUAUACUGAUUCAUGUUGAGUCUGCUAUCUAUGAGUCUUUGCGUACUUGUUGGAUAUAUAAUACCCACAAAUUUAAAAAACAUUAUAAAAUAUUUCCGAGUAAUUUAUGUAAUUAUGUAUUUGUUUCUUACAAUUUUAUAUGUUAUUAGGUAAUCAACGAGAGAGAAAACUAUAAAACAUAUUUAAAGUUUUAAACACAUUUUAAAUUUACUAUUUUAACAUUGUGAAGUAAAAUUGAUCUAGUAAGAAUUAAUCAAUCAACAAAAUAUUAUAUUAUACAUAUAAAUUAACAUCAUAAUAUCACAUCACUACUUAAUAAUAUACAUAACAACCUAACAAUACUUUAGUGGAUGCGGGUAGCCGUAGGUCUAGAUAUCUCAAUUAUCUACGAGUCCAAAAACAUGAAGCCAAACCCAUUACAAAUAUUUUUUAGAUAAGUUUGUAUUUAAAAUUGAUGAAGAUACACAUAUUUAUCUUAAUUGAUUGUUAUAAAACAAUAAAUCACUUUGUAUCAUAUUACCUUGAAUUUCAGUUUGAAUGAGUCUUCAUCACAGCUAAACUCAUUUCGAAUCUGUCUCCUCUUACAUGUUUUACACGUUUUGUUGUGUUCCUUUCACGAUGUCUCUUUAGGAAUGAAUUAAUUUAUUCCAAAUUUUAUCUCCUAUAUUAUCAUAGGUAAAUUAAAAAAUUUGAACAUUCAUUAUUUUAAUUUUAUUAUUAUUGGUAUCUCAUAGUACAUCUUUGUUCCUGGGGAACCUCCUCAUCAAAGUUAUUAUUGUUCUUUGAAAACUUGAUUCCAUUCCAUCUCAUUAUAUUUCUUGAUUUAUGUUCUCACUCUAUUAAAUACAUAACUAGUAUAGACCUGAAUUAUUUAUAUCCUUGCAUAACAUCAAUCAUUGUUCCAUUUAAUAUUGCUAUUUUGUCCCUAUCAUGUCUAUGAUUUGUCAUUAUUAUAUAUAUAUAUAUCCUAGUUGCAAAAUGCAAACCAAACUCUUAGGCACAUUAUAUUGUCAAUGCUACAUAACUAACAAAAACAAUGUAUGGCUAAGAAUUGAAAGAGAUAAACAUGGAGAGAGAACACCAAAUUGCAACACUCAAAUCUCCAUUGAUUGAAAACUCAGGAGAAGAUAGAUUCAUAGUUGAUGAUGAAGAACAUAACAAGUCAAAUGGUAUAGGAGAUAGAACAGAAAUCAUUGAAGAAGUGAAGAAACAGUUAUGGCUAGCAGGACCUUUGAUAUCUGUGAGCCUCUUAAAUUAUUGCCUACAAGUUAUAUCUGUUAUGUUUGUAGGACAUCUUGGGGAAUUGGCUCUUUCUGGAGCUUCCAUGGCCACUUCUUUUGCCUCUGUCACAGGUUUCAGCUUAUUGGUGAGUUCAGUUUAUUGGAUACUCCGCUCAAAAGACUAGUCAUCCAGGGAAAUUGUCCAAGUUAUUAUAAAUGAUUCAUCGUCUCAAGUAUAAUUUUUUUUACUUGGUAGUUAUAAGUGACCUAACAUUGUUAUUAUAUUAGAAUAAUUAGGCCUAACUUGAUAAAUCACUAGAUGCUUUGUCCAACUUAUUAUGACUAAUGCAUAUGCUAUAAUAUCAUUAUAGUAUAUAAGCUCUAAUACAUCCAACUCCACCCCAAAAGUCAAUAUACAUAAAGAAUAUGGUCCAAUACACGAGGCUUCCACUUAGUAAGGUUUGGGAGGGUAGAUGUAUGUAGCCUUACCCUACAAGUGGAAAGACCUUUUCCACAAUUUAAACCUAUGACCAUCAUGGUCACUAAGCAACAACCUUACCAUUACGUCAACUGCACCCUCAAUUUCAUUUUUUCCACGAUUUGAACCUGUGACUUUGUAAGGAAGCAUUGUAUAAUGGUGUUUGUUCUGAUCUUAUCUAUUAUUGGCUUUUCAUUUUUGGUUAAACCAGAUGGGAUUGGCAAGUGCCUUGGACACCCUAUGUGGCCAAUCAUAUGGAGCAAAGCAGCACAGAAUGUUAGGCAUACAAAUGCAAAGAGCCAUGUUCAUUCUUAUGCUUGUGAGCAUUCCACUUUCAUUCAUUUGGGCAAACACAAGAUCCAUUCUACUUUUCCUUGGCCAAGAUCCUGAAAUAUCAACAGAAGCUGGAAACUAUGCACAACUAAUGGUUCCAACCAUUUUUGCCUAUGGCCUUCUUCAGUGCUUCAACAGAUUCUUACAAACGCAAAAUAUUGUAUUUCCGAUGAUGUUAUUUGCAGGAUUGACAACUUUACUGCAUAUUCUUGUAUGUUGGUUUAUGGUAUUCAAGUCUGGACUUGGAGGCAGAGGCGCCGCCUUAGCGAAUUCGAUAUCUUACUGGGUUAAUGUUUUGAUGCUCUCACUCUAUGUCAAGUUUUCUCCUUCAUGUAAAGAAACUUGGACAGGGUUUUCCAAAGAGGCAUUGCAAAAUAUCCCUCAAUUUCUCUUGCUUGCUAUACCUUCAGCAGUUAUGGUUUGGUAAUUACAUUCACUAAUAUUUUGAUCACACCUAUUACAGUAUAUCAAUAUUUAGUGUUUUGAUACUUUUCUUAACAUUUGUAUCCUUCAAAUUCUGAGAUCUUAAUGUUUUUUAUGCUGAAAAGCUUGGAAAUGUGGUCAUUUGAAUUGAUGGUUCUACUUUCUGGUCUUCUUCCAAAUCCGAAGUUGGAAACAUCAGUACUUUCUGUCUGGUAUGUUUCAUAUUUGAGAUACUUUUCACACACUUUGAUAUAAAUACUUGACAUGAUUAUUUUCAUCAAUCUGUUGUGGGUUUUUGUCAGCUUGAAUACAGCUGCAACUGUUUGGAUGAUCCCUUUUGGACUCAGUGGAGCUGUAAGGUUAGUUUCUCUUAUAACCAGCUAUUCAAAUUACGAACCACAUUACCUGAUGCAGCCGCAGUAGUACAGUUGCAUCACACUAUGAUUACAAUAUGACACCAAAUAACAAUGAUGUGGUUGUAUCUUGCCACAGUGCAACUGUAUUUGGGCUGCAUCAGGUGGCAUCAGACUGCAUCGAAUUCAAUACUAUUUUUUUAUUUACAAAAUAAUUCACAACGCAGCAGCUGCAAUUUGUAUCGCAAUGGCCACAGUAACUACAAUCGCACUGCAGUGACCGCAAUAUAAACACGGCUUAUGAUGUUUUACAAUUCAGUGGCAACUCUAACUUUUUGCACAAGUAAAUAUAUGCUAAGCAUCCUGAUAUUUUCCUAAUUUGUAUGUUGAAAAGUUUCCCUUGCUUUUGUAUAUAGUUCAAUCAUGUUCCUUCAUUCUUGCAGCACUCGUAUCUCAAAUGAACUUGGAGCUGGUAAUCCGAAAGCUGCACGUUUAGCAGUGUUUGUUGUCUUAGCAAUGACAUUGAUUGUGGCCAUCAUAGUUGGAACGGUGAUAAUACUAAUACGCAAUGUUUGGGGAUAUGCAUAUAGUGAUGAAGUAGAAGUGGUCAAAUAUGUAGCAAUUAUGAUGCCAAUUCUUGCAACAUCCAAUUUUCUGGAUUCAUUUCAAUGUGUUCUUUCAGGUUUUUUCAUGUUACCCAUUUCUUCCAUUUAUUUUGUAAAUAAUAUCGACAGGUUGUUGCUUAAUAACCAUAAGGUCACCGUAAGAAAUAAGGAAUAGGAGAGUUCAGAAGAAGAGAAUGAGAAUAAGGUAAAUCAGAAAUUGUAUUAUUGAUAUUGUAAUUUACAAAGAGGAGAUGACAGACUAAACAACUUCCGUAAUCAAUUAAUAACCAGAGCACUUCUAAUAUACCCCCUGAAUCCAAGGCUCCUCAAGAGAUGAAGAACUAGUUAAUCUGCUGAGUUGUAGUCUUGAAUUCUUAACUGAUUCCUGAGAGUGAUGAAUUGAGUGUUAGGUAGAGGCUUUUUGAAGAUGUCAGCAGUUUGAAAUUCUGAGGGAAUGUGUCUGACAAUAAGUGUCUUGCUUUGUAUUUUGUCUCUGACAAAGUACAAAUCUAGUUCAAUAUGCUUGGUACGGUUGUGUAAUACAGGAUUGUGAGACAUAACUACUGUGCUUGAGUUGUCAUAGAAAAAAACAGGAGUGUGAUAGGUGAUUUGCAUUUCUUUGAGCAGAGACUCAAACCACAUAAUCUCUUGAGAAGUCAAGGCUAAGCUUCUAUACUCUGCCUCUAUGCUGGAUCUAGAUAUAGUACGUUGUUUCUUUGACCACCAGGUGACAACAUUAGGACCCAAGUAGAGACAAGCUCCCGACGUAGACUUUCUAUCAUCAAUGUUUGAGGCCCAAUCAACAUCACAGAAAGCUGUGAUGGAUAGAUUGGAUGAAUGUCCAGCAGGUUUUAUUGUUAAUCCCAUAUUCCGAGUUCCUUGGAGAUAUCUAAGGAUCCUUUUUACUGCUGUCCAGUGAGAAUUGCAAGGUUUGUCAAGAAAUUGACACACCUUGUUCACACAGUAGGUGAUGUCUGGUCUGGUGACAAUGGCAUAUUGUAGGGCACCAACAAUGGAUCUGUAGAAAGUAGGAUCUUCAGAGAAGUCAGUACCAUGCUUAGUUAGUUUACAAUUGUUAGCUAUAGGUGUAGGAAGAGACUUAGAGGUAGAGAGAUUAGCCCUUUCAAGAAGAUCAUUGAUGUAUUUAGCUUGAGAGAGAAAUCGCGACCCAUUCUUUUGGUGUUUAACUUGAAUACCAAGAAAGUAAUCCAGAGGCCCUAGUUGUUUGAGAGCAAAUGUUGAACUCAAUUCCUUGAUGAGAUUUUGAACAUGGAAGGAUGAUGACCCAGUAACAAUUAUGUCAUCAACAUAUACCAAAACAUACAGUUUGUAGGUUUUAGAGGUAUGAAUGAAAAGAGAAUUAUCACAUUUGCUAAUUUGAAAAUCAAGCUUGACCAAGGAACCUUUUAACCUUUCAAACCAUUGCCUUGGAGCCUGUUUUAGACCAUAGAUGGCUCUGUGUAGUUUGCACACAAGAGAUUUGUUCUUGUUUUGAAAUCCUGAUGGCAGAUUCAUGUAGACUUCUUCAUCAAGAAUGCCAUUUAAAAAGGCAUUAUUAAUGUCAAGUUGUUCAAUCAUCCAUUGAUGAGUGAUAGAAAGUGUAAGAAGUACCCUGAUUGUGAUUGGCUUGACAACUAGAGAGAAUGUUUCAUUGUAAUCUACCCCUUGCUUUUGAUGAAAACCCUUUGCAACCAACCUAGCUUUGUACUUAUUGAUUGUUCCAUCUGGAUUUUCUUUGACUUUAAAAACCUAUUUGCACCCAAUUGCUCUCUUGUGAGGUGGUAGAGGCAUUAGAGACCAUGUUCCCAAUUUAAUGAGGGCAUCAUAUUCUGAUUGCAUUGCUUGCUGCCAUUGAGGAAUAACUAAGGCAGCUUUGACACUGACUGGUUCAGAGUGAACCAUACGAACUCUUGGAUAUAGAGUUCUGAAUAUCCCUGAUUUUGAUCUUGUUUGCAUGGGAUGAGAGGAUAGAGGAGGAGAAGCAAUUGUUAAGGGUGAGUGGUUUGCAGAGGAGGAAGUAGAGUCAUCUGGGUCUAGUGUGUGAUUGGUGGUUAGUGAGGGAGUUUGAGAAUUAGGGGAUGAGAGGAGAAUAGGCGAAUUCUGUAAAGGUGAAGAACCAGAAUUAUGUGUGUACUCAGAAGUUGCUCUGGAGAGAAUGUCAGCGUCAUGAAAAUUGAAUAUGGGAGAAAAAUGACAUCCAUUAAGGAAUGAAGAUGAAUGCUUAUCACCACUGUUGGACUGAUUCUUACCUUUG